GACGGGGGGGGCAAGUGUUCUUCGGAAUGACUGGGCGUAAAGGGCACGUAGGCGUGAAUCGGGUUGAAAGUGAAAGUCGCCAAAAACUGGCGGAAUGCUCUCGAAACCAAUUCACUUGGGUGAGACAGAGGAGAGUGGAAUUUCGUGUGUAGGGGUGAAAUCCGCAAAUCUACGAAGGAAGGCCAAAAGCGAAGGCAGCUCUCUGGGUCCCUACCGACGCUGGGGUGCGAAAGCAUGGGGAGCGAACAGG
rnacentral:rRNA from 1 species